rnacentral:rRNA from 1 species
CUACGGGCCGCAGCAGUGGGGAAUUUUGGACAAUGGGCGCAAGCCUGAUCCAGCCAUUCCGCGUGAGUGAAGAAGGCCUUCGGGUUGUAAAGCUCUUUCGCAAGGGAAGAAAACUUAUCCUCUAACAUAGGGUGAGGUUGACGGUACCUUGAUAAGAAGCACCGGCUAACUACGUGCCAGCGGCCGCGGUAAUACGUAGGGUGCGAGCGUUAAUCGGAAUUACUGGGCGUAAAGCGUGCGCAGGCUGUUUUGUAAGUCGGAUGUGAAAUCCCCGAGCUCAACUUGGGAACUGCGUUUGAAACUACAAGACUAGAAUAUGUCAGAGGGGGGUAGAAUUCCAUGUGUAGCAGUGAAAUGCGUAGAGAUGUGGAGGAAUACCAAUGGCGAAGGCAGCCCCCUGGGAUAAUAUUGACGCUCAUGCACGAAAGCGUGGGGAGCAAACAGGAUUAGAUACCCCCGUAGUC